rnacentral:rRNA from 1 species
GAUGAACGCUGGCGGCGUGCCUAAUACAUGCAAGUCGAGCGAACAGACGAGGAGCUUGCUCCUCUGACGUUAGCGGCGGACGGGUGAGUAACACGUGGAUAACCUACCUAUAAGACUGGGAUAACUUCGGGAAACCGGAGCUCAUACCGGAUAAUAUAUUGAACCGCAUGGUUCAAUAGUGAAAGACGGUUUUGCUGUCACUUAUCGAUGGAUCCGCGCCGCAUUAGCUAGUUGGUAAGGUAACGGCUUACCAAGGCAACGAUGCGUAGCCGACCUGAGAGGGUGAACGGCCACACUGGAACUGAGACACGGUCCAGACUCCUACGGGAGGCAGAAGUAGGGAAUCUUCCGCAAUGGGCGAAAGCCUGACGGAGCAACGCCGCGUGAGUGAUGAAGGUCUUCGGAUCGUAAAACUCUGUUAUUAGGGAAGAACAAAUGUGUAAGUAACUAUGCACGUCUUGACGGUACAUAAUCAGAAAGCCACGGCUAACUACGUG